rnacentral:rRNA from 1 species
CCCUUAGAUGUUCUGGGCCGCACGCGCGCUACACUGAUGAAUUCAACGAGCUCCUAACCUAGGCCGAAGGGUCCGGGUAAUCUUUGAAAUUUCAUCGUGAUGGGGAUAGAUUAUUGCAAUUAUUAAUCUUCAACGAGGAAUUCCUAGUAAGCGCGAGUCAUCAGCUCGCGUUGAUUACGUCCCUGCCCUUUGUACACACCGCCCGUCGCUCCUACCGAUUGAACGGUCCGGUGAAAUGUUCGGACCGCGACAAGGCGGACGGUUCGCUGUCAGCUUUGCUGCGGGAAGUUCAUUAAACCUUAUCAUUUAGAGGAAGGAGAAGUCGUAACA